rnacentral:rRNA from 1 species
AUUCCCCUAGUAACGGCGAGCGAACCGGGAAGAGCCCAACUUGGAAAUCUGGAGGCUUGUCCUUCCGAAUUGUAGUCUAGAGUAGUGCCAUCUGCGGCUGACCGGUCCCAAGUUCCCUGGAAAGGGACGUCAGAGAGGGUGAGAGCCCCGUCGAGACCGGUUUUGUCGCUCCACGAUGCGCUUACGAGGAGUCGGGUUGUUUGGGAAUGCAGCCCUAAGCGGGAGGUAAAUUCCUUCUAAGGCUAAAUAUUGGCGAGAGACCGAUAGCGAACAAGUACCGCGAGGGAAAGAUGAAAAGACCUUUGAAAAGAGAGUUAAAAAGUACCUGAAAUUGUUGAGGGGGAAGCGAUUAAAACCAAUGGGUGCUCCCUAGGUAGGCGCAAGUCACACGCUAGGGGCUGGUCAACGUGGGUUAGCCGGGUGAAAUAUUACACUUGACUGACCGAGGACUCGACGUUGGCGGAAUGGUUUUAAUCGGCCCGUCUAGAAACACGGACCAAGGAGUCUAACAUGUGUGCGAGUCGGUGGGUGACAAACCCACGAGGCGCAAGUAACCUGACUGUUCAAAAUCGACCAACCAUGAUCUUCUGUGAAAGGUUUGAGUGCGAGCAUACAUGCUGGGACCCGAAAGAUGGUGAACUAUGCCUGAGCAGGGCGAAGCCAGAGGAAACU